rnacentral:rRNA from 1 species
UAGGGAAUAUUGGUCAAUGGGUGAGAGCCUGAACCAGCCAUGCCGCGUGCAGGAAGAAGGCCUUCUGGGUUGUAAACUGCUUUUGCCGGGGGAUAAAAUGGCUUUGCGAAGCUAAUUGAAGGUACCCGGUGAAUAAGCCACGGCUAACUACGUGCCAGCAGCCGCGGUAAUACGUAGGUGGCAAGCGUUGUCCGGAUUUAUUGGGUUUAAAGGGUGCGUAGGCGGUUCUAUAAGUCAGUGGUGAAAUACUCCGGCUCAACCGGAGAGGUGCCAUUGAUACUGCAGAACUUGAGUACAGACGAGGUAGGCGGAAUUGACGGUGUAGCGGUGAAAUGCUUAGAUAUCGUCAAGAACACCGAUAGCGAAGGCAGCUUACUAGACUGUAACUGACGCUGAGGCACGAAAGUGUGGGGAUCAAACAGGAUUAGAUACCCAAGUAGUCCCUGAGCGGGCUGGCAAGGCGCAU